UACAGAGGUCUCAAGCGUUGUUCGGAUUCAUUGGGCGUAAAGGGUGCGUAGGCGGCGCGGUAAGUCGGGUGUGAAAUCUCGGAGCUUAACUCCGAAACUGCAUUCGAUACUGCCGUGCUUGAGGGCUUCAGAGGGACGCGGAAUUCCAGGUGGAGCGGUGAAAUGCGUAGAGAUCUGGAAGAACACCGAAGGCGAAGGCAGCGUUCUGGGAAGCAACUGACGCGUCAUGUGCGAAAGCCAGGGGAGACAAACGGG
rnacentral:rRNA from 1 species